rnacentral:rRNA from 1 species
AUUGAACGCUGGCGGCAGGCCUAACACAUGCAAGUCGAGCGGGGUUUUCGGACCUAGCGGCGGACGGGUGAGUAAUGCGUAGGAAGCUACCCGAUAGAGGGGGAUAUCAGUUGGAAACGACUGUUAAUACCGCAUAAUGUCUACGGACCAAAGUGCGGGACCUUCGGGCCACAUGCUAUCGGAUGCGCCUACGUCCGAUUAGCUGGUUGGUGGGGUAAGGGCCACCAAGGCGACGAUCGGUAGCUGGUCUGAGAGGAUGAUCAGCCACACUGGGACUGAGACACGGCCCAGACUCCUACGGGAGGCAGCAGUGGGGGAAUAUUGGACAAUGGCGCAAGACCUGAUCCAGCAAU